AUUGAACGCUGGCGGCAGGCCUAACACAUGCAAGUCGAGCGGAUGAAGGGAGCUUGCUCCUGCUUCAGCGGCGGACGGGUGAGUAAUGCCUAGGAAUCUGCCUGGUAGUGGGGGAUAACGUCCGGAAACGGGCGCUAAUACCGCAUACGUCCUGAGGGAGAAAGUGGGGGAUCUUCGGACCUCACGCUAUCAGAUGAGCCUAGGUCGGAUUAGCUAGUUGGUGGGGUAAAGGCCUACCAAGGCGACGAUCCGUAACUGGUCUGAGAGGAUGAUCAGUCACACUGGAACUGAGACACGGUCCAGACUCCUACGGGAGGCAGCAGUGGGGAAUAUUGGACAAUGGGCGAAAGCCUGAUCCAGCCAUGCCGCGUGUGUGAAGAAGGUCUUCGGAUUGUAAAGCACUUUAAGUUGGGAGGAAGGGCAGUAAGUUAAUACCUUGCUGUUUUGACGUUACCCACAGAAUAAGCACCGGCUAACUUCGUG
rnacentral:rRNA from 1 species